ACCGGACUCGCGUCGCUCAACGCUGCAGUGCGCAUACCGGCAACCGGCGGGCAUGGGCUAGCAUGCACUCAGCCGAAAUAGCUGGGGCGCAUCGCAUAUAGGCGGAGCGAGUGAGUGAGGGAGGAGAGGCAAGCGGGCGGCAGGCGGAAGCCGCGCGUACAUGUCGAUGGGUCUGACAAGGUACCAGGCGUCGGUCAAUCGGUGAACGGGGGAAGGUCCAGAUGAGGGGGUUCAGCGUCGGGGGCAGCCCACACCUCGCCAUGUCUCCAGCCCUGGCCAGGCGCGCCGUGCGCGAGCGCUUGUGCUAUUGAAGCUGCGCUGCUUCGCUGGCGCGCAUACAUCACGAGCUAGAACCGGAGCCCGUGAGCUGUCGGAUGCCAGUAGCCAGGGUAGUAACGGGGAAAAUGG
rnacentral:misc_RNA from 1 species